GUGCUGGGAUCACUGGUUGGUGCUGAGUUGGUGGGCCAAAGGGCCUGUUUCUGUGCUUUAUCUACACUACAAGUAAUUUUAAGAGUUUCACCUACAGCCUUUUUUCCCUAAUGAAACUCAAAUAAAAUGGUUCAAAGAGUAUCACUAUUGACAAAACUAUGGAAGAGCGAUGGCAUUUGAAUGUUCACGGAUGCACAAUAACGGAGGUACAAAGGAGAAAACAUUGUUCUUUAUCUCAAGGGAUUUAGAAUACAAAAUAGUCAAAUUCAACUGACCAACUCCAGAGAAACAAUUUCCACUGGUGUGGGAAUCCAAACAAGGAGACCUUCAAUGCCUUAAAAUGACACCAACAUAGGAUAGAGAU